rnacentral:rRNA from 1 species
UACGUAGGGUGCAAGCGUUGUCCGGAAUUAUUGGGCGUAAAGAGCUCGUAGGCGGCCUGUCGCGUCGGCUGUGAAAACCCGAGGCUCAACCUCGGGCCUGUAGUCGAUACGGGCAGGCUAGAGUUCGGUAGGGGAGACUGGAAUUCCUGGUGUAGCGGUGAAAUGCGCAGAUAUCAGGAGGAACACCGGUGGCGAAGGCGGGUCUCUGGGCCGAAACUGACGCUGAGGAGCGAAAGCGUGGGGAGCGAACAGG